UUAAAUUGAAGAGUUUGAUCAUGGCUCAGAUUGAACGCUGGCGGCAGGCCUAACACAUGCAAGUCGGACGGUAGCACAGAGAGCUUGCUCUCGGGUGACGAGUGGCGGACGGGUGAGUAAUGUCUGGGGAUCUGCCCGAUAGAGGGGGAUAACCACUGGAAACGGUGGC
rnacentral:rRNA from 1 species